GCUCUAUUGGAGUUUUGUGAGUGAGCCCAGGACAGGGCUGUGAUGGCAAGCAGUGCCCCCUGGGCCUGGAUUUUAGCCAUUGACAGUGGCACUCACAGAAAGUCUGAUAAGGAGCAAUUCCUAUUCUGGAAGAGAAAUUUGUGAAUGCUUUGCCAGACGCCUACGCAGCCCUGAUACCAAUCAUGCAGGGUGAGCUGUAAGAAAAUCAAUGCAUCACAUGUGUUGGCAGUUCCAAAAAGGAGAUAGUUACUGAAGUUAGAAAUACCCUAGCUGUAGGUGUGGGUGUUUCUCUCCCUCUCAAUAUUAUGCAGGCUUCCAGGGAAACAAUGGAUUUACCUCAGGGUACAGUUGCAUUGCUACAGAUUCACAUCUGAAGAAGUGCCUUGUGCAAUCUGAUACCCAUCAUUGCUCAAGAUUUGACUGAUUUUGAGAAUCAUCAUUAUAAGCAUCAGGAUUCUGUUUAAAACCAUCUUUCUCUGUGUGUACCCACUCGACAGCUAUUGGAAAUAUAGACCUAUAUAGCACAGUCAACAUACUGGCUUGACAAGAAACUACUUUUGCUAGACUUGGAAGCAUGGAAAGGUAAAGGGUCAAAGGUAGUGGAAACUGGCCUGUGGUUAGCUUUGCUUUGAUAAACUCAGACCAAUGGUAAGAUUGUUUUGAC